UUCGGUCUCCUUUAUGCGCCGCCCCUUCGAAGCCGACAUCAUCAACUCCUGCUUAUCUUCAUUUUUUGUACCUUCAUUUCACCCUCUCUUCCACGUGCUGCUCCAUUAAAAUUUCCCCUCACACCGUGAGCUUCAAGCUGUUGUGAAGACCGAAGCCACUCAUCCCCUUCUCCACUCACACACGCCCACCACCACUCACUGAUUUCCCUUUUGCAAGCCACGCAUCAACUUCGGUCAACUAAAGAACUCCUUUCCCCCAUUGUUGACUCUCCUGCAAGCGGCCCACUCGUCCAAGCAUCCACUUCCUUCGGUCGAAGCCCAGCAAAAGCCACGCCGUUGAUUUCUGCAUUUGCUGCCUUCACGCCCGCGACCCAGCUUUCAUCUUCACGAAGCCUCUCUGUUUUGUUGACCGUGAAACCCCCACAUCUCGCCGUUCCCUUCCACCGAAGCAUCACCGGGUCUUCUCUUCAUACGGCCACGAAGACAACUUGCUUUGAUUGUUGACCGCCAGCUCGCCCGUGGGGUCUCCUCGAAGCCGAGCUUUGUUGCCGCGGCCCGCUCGUCCAGCUUUCGUAAUUCAAGAUCAAGCUCAGCUUCGCUGAGCUGUUUUGGACCUGUUUUGGCCGGUCCAAGCUUCUGUCGGCCUCGCCGUGAGUUCAAGUUCCAGCCGCCGUCGUGCCGCCGUCGCCGUGAGCCGAUUUUCGUGCUAACCGGGCCAUAGAAAGAGGACCUGGAGUUGAGCUGAGGUGACUUGAAGAUUGGGUCAGAUAGGACAGCCUCUUUUUGAGAACUAGUCUUUUGGUUAUAGACUUGUGUAAAUGACUCAGUAUGUUUAUAAAAGUGUGGUUUGAUUGUGAA